UACAGAGGGUGCGAGCGUUAAUCGGAAUUACUGGGCGUAAAGCGUGCGCAGACGGUCAUGUAAGUCGGGUGUGAAAGCCCCGGGCUCAACCUGGGAAUUGCAUUCGAGACUGUGUGGCUAGGGUGCGGAAGAGGGAAGCGGAAUUUCCGGUGUAGCGGUGAAAUGCGUAGAUAUCGGGAGGAACACCGGUGGCGAAGGCGGUUCUCUGGGCCUUACCUGACGCUGAGGAGCGAAAGCGUGGGGAGCGAACAGG
rnacentral:rRNA from 1 species